rnacentral:rRNA from 1 species
GCUAAAAACCUAGCCCCACCUUCUCGUAUGCAACCCCCACACUUAAACUAUUUAAUCAAAACAUUUUGAUAAUUUAGUAAAGGCGAUUGAAAAACUAUUUGGAGCAAUAUAAUUAGUACCGCAAGGGAAAGAUGAAAUAAAAAUGAAAUAUCUAUUUAAGCACAAAAAAGUAGAGACUUUACCUCGUACCUUUUGCAUCAUGGUUUAACUAGUAUAAUCAAGCAAAACGAAUUUAAGUUUGACCCCCCGAAACUAGGCGAGCUACUUCAAGGCAGCUUAAAGAGCAAACCCGUCUCUGUUGCAAAAGAGUGGGAAGACCUUCAAGUAGGGGUGACAGACCUAACGAGCCUAGUGAUAGCUGGUUACUCAAGAAAAGGAUUUUAGUCCUACCUAAAGUUAAAUAAAUAAUAAAAUAAAUAAAAACACAACUUUAGAGCUAUUCAAAUAAGGUACAGCCUAUUUGAAACAGGAUACAACCUUAACUAACGGGUAAACUAAAAUGAAAAACACAACCAAGUGGGCCUAAAAGCAGCCACCUUUAAAAUAGCGUCAAAGAUUAAUUGCGUUUUUAUUAAAUUCCUCUCUUUCCUUGGAACCCUUUAUUAAUAUUGAGUAUUUUUAUAAGAUUAUAAAAUCUUUUAUGUUAAAACUAGUAACAAGAAGAAGACCUUCUCUUUAAUGCAAGUGUAAAUCAGAAAGGACACCACCACUGAUAAUUAACAUGUAUGAACAAAAAGUAGUAACCAAACAAGAAAACUCUACUUAACUUAAUGUUAAUCUAACACAAGAGCAUCUCAAGAAAGAUUAAAAGAAAAAGAAGGAACUCGGCAAAUAUUAACCUCGCCUGUUUACCAAAAACAUCGCCUCUUGAAAACUAUAAGAGGUCCAGCCUGCCCAGUGACAUCUGUUCAACGGCCGCGGUAUCCUAACCGUGCGAAGGUAGCGUAAUCACUUGUUCUUUAAAUAAGGACUAGUAUGAAUGGCACCACGAAGGUUAUACUGUCUCCUUUUUCAAAUCAGUGAAACUAAUCUUCCCGUGAAGAAACGGGAAUUUAUAUAUAAGACGAGAAGACCCUAUGGAGCUUUAAACAAAAUAACAAUUGCUAUAAUUAUUAAUAAUUUCAGAAAACUUAAAUUUAUCUUAGCACUAUGAUUAUUAGUUUUAGGUUGGGGUGACCGCGGAGAAAAAAUCAACCUCCACAUUGAAAGGACCUACCUCCUAAGCAAAAAGCUACAACUUUAUGCAUCAAUAAAUUGACAUUAAUUGACCCAAUAUUUUGAUCAACGAACCAAGUUACCCUAGGGAUAACAGCGCAAUCCGCUUCAAGAGCUCCUAUCGACAAGCGGGUUUACGACCUCGAUGUUGGAUCAGGGUAUCCCAGUGGUGCAGCCGCUACUAAAGGUUCGUUUGUUCAACGAUUAAAACCCU